rnacentral:rRNA from 1 species
CAAUAGCGUAUAUUUAAGUUGUUGCAGUUAAAAAGCUCGUAGUUGGAUUUCGGUUAAGAGCGACCGGUCCGCCGUUUGGUGUGCACUGGUUGGUUUUAACUUCCUGUAGAGGACGUGCUCUGGGUUUAACGACCUGGACUCGGAGUCUACGUGGUUACUUUGAAAAAAUUAGAGUGUUCAAAGCGGGCUUACGCUUGAAUAUUUCAGCAUGGAAUAACACUAUAGGACUCCUGUCCUAUUUCGUUGGUCUCGGGACGGGAGUAAUGAUUAAGAGGAACAGUUGGGGGCAUUCGUAUUUCAUUGUCAGAGGUGAAAUUCUUGGAUUUACGCAAGACAAACAGCUGCGAAAGCGUCUGCCAAGGAUGUUUUCAUUAA